AUUUCCCAAUCCCAUCAUCUUGGAACCAGGGCUGAGAACCUGCCAAAUGAAAACACAUGAGUUUCCACACUGAGGCUAGCAUCCCCGAAGCAGACCACAGCCAUCUUCACUAUGGACAAGAAGACAACCACGUGUCCUGAUGACUGUUCUCCUUUGAGUCCAGUGUUUGCUGAGACAGAACUGACAGUUAUCCCUAAAGCAUGGCUUGUGAGUGUGACCCCAGAAAAAGGAACUUUUUCAGUGUGGCCCAGAGCAUGAUGGCCUGGGAAGGUUUGCAAACUGCAAAGUCCAGACGACCAGCCUGCUGAUGGGAACAAGGGCUUCAGGUAGGAAAGUGGCUAUGCAGGAGAGCCCAACAUGGGCUGGCAAGGCCACACAGCUGGAUCACUGAGGGACAGAAAUGGAGAGAAGGAGCCAAGAUGGGCGAGGGCUGCAGCUUGUAUCCCUUGCUUUUCUUCCCCCACUGCAGACUUUAUAAAAUCUAAACCACCUAAACCCUGCAAACCUCCCCGCCCCAGGCUCUCCUGCAGUAAACACUCGAGCCAUUUACUGUUAAAAGUCUCUGACUUUGGUGGUGGGAGUGGGAGAACGGGUCUACUAUGUAGACCAAGCUGGCCUCAAGCUCUUAAGUCUCCAGUCCCAGCCCCCACAACUGGAUAAAAGUCUCCACAAAACAGAGAAGCCACAGACACCCACGGUGGGUUUUCAACUACCGACUUUACUAUAUUUAAAAAAAAAACAUUAACCAGCUUGGUUAACUUGCUUAAGAGAUAAUUUUGCUUGUUUUUAAAGACAGGGUCGCACUCUGUAGUUCCGGCUGGCUUUGAAUCCUCUGGGAUCCUCCUGCUGUAGCCUCCCCGGACUGGGCUCACAGGCCUCAGUGGCUACUAGAAAACAGAAAGGCUUCUGAGGGCAUAGCUCAGUGCACUGUACCAGCAAAGCCCUGAGUCAGGUGCUCAGCACCCAGUGGACGUCCCCAGGUAACCCUUGUUGUCGCUUUUGUUUGGUGUUUAUUAUUGUUGUUGCUUAGAUGGGGUCUCUCUGUGUAGCACUGGCUGUCCUGGAUCUGUAGUAGACCAGGCUGGCCUCAAACUCAGAGAGAUCCACCUGCCCCUGUCUCCCAAGUACUAGCAUUAAAGGAGUAAGACACCACACCUGACCAGGUGUGAGACAGAGGGAGGGGAGAGACUAUGACAGCAGGUGACCUAUCAAAUUCAUUGUCACUUUCUAAAACUUUUCCUUUUUUAGGCCAGCGGGUGGUGGUGUAUACCUUUAUUCGAAGCCUUUGGGAGGUGGAGGCAGGUGGAUCUCUGGGAGUUCAAGGUCAGCCUGGCCUACGGAGCAAAUUCCAGGGCAGCCAAGUUUACACAGAGAAACCCGGGUUCCAAAAAAAAAAAAGAUGUUUUUUCUUUUGCACAGAAUUUUUUAUCAUAUAGCUAAAUACUUGUGAGCACUCAGAUGAGAAGAAUCUGGAUAGCUUGCUUGCCGUUAAGUUUUCUGUCAGCUUGCCCCGGCUCUGGACACCUGGGAGGAACCGAUUAAGAGCAAUACCUCCUUCAGAUUGCCCUGUGCACGGCUGUGGUACAUUUUCUUGAUUAAUGAUUGAUGUGGGAGCUCAGCUCAGCUCAGCUCAGCUCAGCUCUGCUCAGCUCUGCUCAGCCCAGUUCAGCUCAGCUCAGCUCAGCUCACAGUGGGCUGUUCCACCUUCAGAUAAGUGGUCCUGGCUUGUAUCAAAAAGCAAACUGGGCAAGCCAUGGAACGCAAGCCAGUAAGAGGUGUUCCGAUGUGCCCUCUGCUCUGGUUCCUGCUCUGGCUUCCUUCAGAGAUGAACUGGGGCCUGCAAGUCAAAUAAAAAUGUUUCCUCAUCAAGUUGCUCUUGGCCUCAGUGUUAUCGCAGGAGCAGGAACCUGCCUAGGGCACAAAGUCACCAAAUCUCAGCCACACCUCUGUCCUACCCACAGGAUGGGCUCCACCCAAACCCAGCGGGCAAGCGGGCAGCUAGUUCAAAAGCCACUGAGAUGAGCAACCCUUCUGCAUAGCACCCCGGUCUCGCUUUUGGUCUUGAGCCGUCCCCGAGGCAGAGAUCAGCAAGCUGCAGCCCACAGCUGACAGCCGGCCGUUUCUGUACGCACAGUUUUACUGAUGUGGCCAUCUUCCAUAACUGCUUUCCAGCUGUAAGGCGGAAGUGAACACUUAAAUCAGACACCUCUGAGUAGGACCAUGGAGGGGUUUAAACAUUAACGAUCUUUAAACUUAGUCACAAACUUCCUCUCACGGAGACUUAAGGUUAAGUCCACAAAGUCUGGUUAACUUCCUUUUUAAACUCACCAGGAAGCCCAGAGGCUACCUUCCUCUCACUUCCUCGUCCCCAGCUGUAAACACUGUGCUUCCCCCAAUGCUGGAUGUUUAUAGUUUCUAGAAAUGCUAAAAAAGAGAAAAAAAAUGGCCACACAACUGGACGUGGUGAGGUAUGCCUGCACUCCAGUUCUCAGGAGGAUGAGGCAGGAUUUUAUGAAUUCUAGUCUAGCCUGGGCUACCGGGGGAGUCCCUUUCACAAAACAAAACAGCCCCCACCCUGUAUCCAUAAGAAAGUUUUAGUAAACACAGUACUGAACUUUACUGACACACUAGUCCCUUCGUGCCAGGAGCCCUGGUGGAUACCCGCUUCUAGGAUGAUGGUUCCAUCCCUAUCACGGAUGGCUUAGUGUCUGCAAACAGCCUGUGCUGCUCACAACACCCACGGUGCUAAAGCUGAGUCCUCCAAGGAGCCUAUACUGCUUAGAAAAGGACAUUUAAAAAAGAAACAAACAAAUAAAAAAAAAAAAAAACAAAAAACCUGUGAUCUUUGUGCAUUGCCUGGCUCCCUCAGAGGUCAGAGAGGGCAUCAGAUACCCUGGAACUGGAGUUAAGGGUGGUUGUGAACCAACAUGCAGUGCUAGGAACCAAACCCAGGUUCUCUGCAAAAGCAACAAGUAACUCCCAAGCACUGAGCCAUCUCUCCAGACCCAGGCUAACAGAUCCUCAGCGUGGUUACUGGGCCAGCAUUAGAGCUGUUGGAAACGGCAAGUUUUCUGACUCAAGGCAAACCCAUGAGAUUCCAGGACUCUGGCCAGGACAAGCAGACAUGGAACCCAGAGAUGUGGCUGGAGGCCACACCUGUUCCUGUUAGCUCCCUCCAGACAGGGUCAGCAUGGCAUCUGGUUAGACACCAGAGAAAGUGAGCCAUUUAUCUUUGAGGAAUAUUUCUAUUCCCCUGCCCAUUUGGGAGUUGAGGUUUGGUUCGUUUUCUUAGCUCUUUCGUGGCCUUCUGGCUUUCUUCAAGAGAUACCACCACUGCCGCCUCUCUGUACAGAACAGCCCGUCCUCCCACCCCUAGCCUACGACGGUCUGUCCUGUGUGUGUGCGGGCGAAAACUGUGACAUUGCUCUGUUUAAAACAGCCAUGUGGGGGUUGGGGAUUUAGCUCAGUGGUAGAGCACUUGCCUAGCAAGCACAAGGCCCUGGGUUCGGUCCCCAGCUCCGAAAAAAAACAAAAACAAAAAAACAAAAAAACAAAAAAAAAAACACACACACACACACACACACACACACACACACACUAAAACAACCAUGUAGUCUGAGGUUCGUCUCUGUCUUGAUCAGACCCUGCACACGUGCGGGCAAGGCUAACAGGCUCAUCAGAAUGAACCCAGUGCAGCCCUGUCUCUGCAGGACCUACAAAAGUGAAGCAGGAAAGAGGGUGAGGGAUGUAGGGGGUAACCUAGUAACCUAGUAACCUAGUAACCUGUCUGCUAUCUCAGUACCAGCAUCAGGAGGAGGAGACACUGAACACCAGACCCCCAGUCCUGCUGUCAGGAAAACCAGACAAAUCAAUUAUUUGACUAGUAAUAAAAUCCUGUCCCUGCAAGAAAUCAGCGAGGCAGGAAUUUUAAAAACUGGUAACAGCCAAUGAGCCAUCUUGAAGCCUCAGCUUCCCAAAUUAAACUCCUCAAGGCCUACAGCCCUGGCCAGUACCUUAUGGAGAAGAAUCACCCAGCUGAGCGUCCCAACUCAGAGAAUCACUAGCAGGAGUAAAUCAGUGUUAACCUAGGGGAAGAUAAGUCACCAGCGUAUGAACCAUAGGGUGAAAAGUUACAGAGCAGCCAAUAGGGAAUGUUUCUGGUUUUGCUGGGGGGAAAAAUGUUCUUUUAUGACAUCCAGUGCAUGAGUAUAUUUUCCAAUAUUAUAGACAGAAAAUGCAUAAAAGCAAGGCCACAGAUAAGAUAUAUGAUGAAGUGGAGUCCCCUCCCUGUUAUUCUGUUUCACUGCCCCUCGGUGAACACGCUUCUUAAUUCAAAAGUAAAAUGGUGAAAACAUACAACAUAAGAGAGAAAGACUGAAACUCCAGCAGACUUAAAGCUGCAUUCCGCAGCAUUUUACAGCCACCAUGUUUGGUACAGCUACUGUGCUAUGUGUACAUCAUCAAGUAGAGUUGGUCCCCUUCACGACAAGGCUGCCUCGGCUAGACUCUGCCACCCAAAGAACAAGCAAGGUGGCUGAGGAAGGUCUCCAGCCCAGAGAGACAGAAAAAUCAUUCCACUCGAGUUCGGUAACUGAGAGGGUCCAUUUCUACUUCAAACCUUCAGGCCAAUCAGGAAGGACAACCCUAGGGUCCUGGUUUGCUUUCUACUGUGGGAUAAACACCACAACCAAAAGCAACUUGGGGAGGAAAGGAGUUACAUGUGUCAUCUAUGUCCAUCGCUGAGGGAAAUCAGGGUAAGAACUCAGGGCAGGAACCGAUGCAGAGGCCAUGGAGGAAUGAAUGCUGCUUCCUGGUUUGUUCUCCAUGGCUUAGUCAACCUGCUUUCUUGCCCAGGGAUGGCCCCACCCAUGGAGCCUUCCCACAUCAAUCUUUAAUGAAGAAAAUGCACCCCAGAUUUACCUACAGCCCAAUCAAAUGAAAGUGUUUUCUCAAUUGAGGGUCCCUCUUCCCUGAUGACCCUAGCUCGUAUCCAGUUGACCAAAAACCAACCAGCACCUCUGGGGUCUGUUGUCUGAAAAGACUAUCAGGGAAAACAUUCACCUUCAAGGGAAGGUUUAACCACAGACCUAACGGAGGAUGCUCCCACCCAGCUUCCUGGGGAUGAAAUGUAAAAAGCGAAGGAACAGCUGUCUCCUCUGGGCACCUUCAUCCCAGAGGGUAUGGGAGAUGCUGUGCUGAGUCAGGGAGGAAAAACAUUGCCAUCCAGUCACAGGGGACACACACACACACACACACACACACACACACACACACACAUUGCACACAAAGCAUCCACACUUCAUUACUUCCCACCAAGUGUGUUAUAAAGCCAUAAAAUCCCGACAGUAU